UUUCGCCGUAGGUGGUGGAUGCAGCUCCAGAAAGGUCCGAGUGGACAAAGAAGUAGUGCCCGCAGAGGUUUACGGCCGAGUUGAGCGCCACAGACCCGGCCUUGCAGCGGGUCACUGGGCUGGAUGGCCUCGCGGGGCUGAGCAUCCGCCUCAUCUCGCCGGUCCUGUCAUAGCAGUCUACUCCAGGCACAGGUGAGAAGAAAAGUUCAGCAGAACUUGAUGUGCCCAAAGGCUAUUCAACAUUCAACCUCUGCUGCCACCACCCCAGACCUCCCAGGACUGCAGGAGGCAAGUGGGACAGGGUAGCUCUUCCUGCCCUGCUUCUGGGACGAGGGAGGCUUAGCUCACAGAGGCAGCAACCCCUCUUCCAUUUCGGAGUCUCUGCACUGCCAUAGUAUAUCUGAAUAAGGGGACAUCAGGAAAGGGUUUUAUGUGGGGCAAAAUGUGGAUGAUGACACCAUUGGCAGCAAGUCUGGGGAGAGAAGAGAACCCAAAAGGGCCUGGACUCAUGAAAUGAAGUUGGUGUCCACCUCUCACCAACUCACUUUCCCCUCUGCCAGCUGAGGACCUUGCGCCCAUCCAGGAUGGGGGUCCAAGCAACACCACCCUUCCAAUAGCUGCCCCCUGCACACACACUGAGGCAUCCAGGGCCUUUCCUACACCUCAGGAUGGAGCCCGUGGCUUUCCUUAGUGUCAUCUAGUCCACACAGCUCAGGGGUGACCAUGGUGGCAGCAACAUGAAGCUCCAUCUUCUUACCCUAGAGCAGCACCAUUUGGGAACGGCUGAGGAGGCAAAGGAGGCCAGCUGUCAACCAGUCUCUGCCCGUGAUCUGUCCCUGUGUGCCUCUAGUGGAAGAGAAAUGGUUUAAGGAAGAGAAGAAAGGGGGGCCCUGAAAUCUCUACAAAUUUCUGCUAAUCCUGGGUACAUCUCCAAAUACUGCACAGCUUUGAAUAUUUAGGAAGACAGAGGAGAGGAAGUAGGAAAAGAGACACAGAUAGAGGGGAAAAUAAGACCUGCGACUCAAAGGAAGUGGAAUUCAAACGGCUAGUAAUAGAAAGGAGCAUUUGCAGGUCCAGGAUAAGAGUAUAAAUGGAGGCACAUACACCAUGUUUCCAUAUAUGCUAUAAAAUAAAUAUGUUCUUCCUUCUUCAUAUGCCUUUCUAACAACCCAACAGGUCAGGUUUGAAUCUGGAAUCUUCUGACUUAAGAGUCCUUCUCUGGAACGUGAUGGCUCAGUCCCACAUCUGGAGAGAGUUCCUCUGCACUAAUCAAAAUGAAAACCAGUUGCCACCACCUCAGCAGCCAAUGAGCUCCAGAAAACAGGUAGAUGGCGGGCCCCGGCCCCUAGCAGAAGGCAACCCUGCACCCCCACCCUGCUGCACCCCAAUGACGAAUGCCUGGGAGGGAGGGAGACUGCAACUUCCACCUCGUGAGCUCCAA